rnacentral:rRNA from 1 species
GUGUCCGCACGGGAGGGCAUCGACCUCUCGGAAACCACGGGAUCGUGCAGACGUGCGCUCGUCGCCAAGGUGCUCGUCGUAGCUGCCACGCCCUCGACGCGCCUUCGUUCGUCGCCUGCGUGCGGGCCCGGGACGUCUAGAGUGGCUCACGGUGCCCGCCGUAGUGUAGAGCACGACAAGGACGCAGUGACGUUAAGCGCACAACCGGCACUGGCCUCGAAACGGCAACGCCCCCGCCCCACCACGGGCGCUCCACAAGCCCUGUAACAUGCUCAGCUCGUCUCGUCUAGACGACGUGCCUAUCGUUCUUA